CCUACGGGGGGCAGCAGUGGGGAAUUGUUCGCAAUGGGCGCAAGCCUGACGACGCAACGCCGCGUGGAGGAUGAAGACCUUCGGGUCGUAAACUCCUUUCGAUCGAGACGAACGGCCUUCGGGUGAACAACCCGGAGGAGUGACGGUACCGAGAGAAGAAGCCCCGGCUAACUCCGUGCCAGCAGCCGCGGUAAUACGGGGGGGGCAAGCGUUGUUCGGAAUUACUGGGCGUAAAGGGCUCGUAGGCGGCCAACUCAGUCGGACGUGAAAUCCCCCGGCUUAACCGGGGAACUGCGUCCGAUACUGGAUGGCUUGAGUUCGGGAGAGGGAUGCGGAAUUCCAGGUGUAGCGGUGAAAUGCGUAGAUAUCUGGAGGAACACCGGUGGCGAAGGCGGCAUCCUGGACCGACACUGACGCUGAGGAGCGAAAGCCAGGGGAGC
rnacentral:rRNA from 1 species